ACACUCCUACGGGAGGCAGCAGUGGGGAAUUUUGGACAAUGGGCGAAAGCCUGAUCCAGCCAUGCCGCGUGCAGGAUGAAGGCCUUCGGGUUGUAACCUGCUUUUGUACGGAACGAAACGGCCUUUUCUAAUAAAGAGGGCUAAUGACGGUACCGUAAGAAUAAGCACCGGCUAACUACGUGCCAGCAGCCGCGGUAAUACGUAGGGUGCAAGCGUUAAUCGGAAUUACUGGGCGUAAAGCGUGCGCAGGCGGUUAUGUAAGACAGUUGUGAAAUCCCUGGGCUCAACCUGGGAACUGCAUCUGUGACUGCAUAGCUAGAGUACGGUAGAGGGGGAUGGAAUUCCGCGUGUAGCAGUGAAAUGCGUAGAUAUGCGGAGGAACACCGAUGGCGAAGGCAAUCCCCUGGACCUGUACUGACGCUCAUGCACGAAAGCGUGGGGAGCAAACAGGAUUAGAAACCCUUGUAGUCCCAUG
rnacentral:rRNA from 1 species